UACGUAGGGUGCAAGCGUUGUCCGGAAUUAUUGGGCGUAAAGAGCUCGUAGGCGGUUUGUCGCGUCUGCUGUGAAAACUCGGGGCUUAACCCCGGGCCUGCAGUGGGUACGGGCAGACUAGAGUGCGGUAGGGGAGACUGGAAUUCCUGGUGUAGCGGUGAAAUGCGUAGAUAUCGAGAGGAACACCUGCGGCGAAGGCGGGUUGCUGGGCCGACACUGACGCUGAGGCGCGGAAAGCCAGGGGAGCGAACGGG
rnacentral:rRNA from 1 species